rnacentral:rRNA from 1 species
CCUACGGGGGGCAGCAGUAGGGAAUAUUGCUCAAUGGGGGAAACCCUGAAGCAGCAACGCCGCGUGGAGGAUGAAGGUUUUAGGAUUGUAAACUCCUUUUGUUAGAGAAGAUUAUGACGGUAUCUAACGAAUAAGCACCGGCUAACUCCGGGCCAGCAGCCGCGGUAAUACGGAGGGGGCAAGCGUUACUCGGAAUCACUGGGCGUAAAGGGUGCGUAGGCGGGGUAAUAAGUCAGCUGUGAAGUCUUGUAGCUUAACUACAGAACUGCAUUUGAAACUGGUACUCUGGAGUGUGGGAGAGGUAGGUGGAAUUCUUGGUGUAGGGGUAAAAUCCGUAGAGAUCAAGAGGAAUACUCAUUGCGAAGGCGACCUGCUGGAACAUUACUGACGCUGAUGCACGAAAGCGUGGGGAGCAAACAGGAUUAGAUACCCGGGUAGUC